AUAUAUUACGUGGCCCAGGAGGAACCAAAACUCCUGAAAACCUGCCAGGGCCCAUCACGCCCCUCUCUGUUACCCUGAAACUGCAGGAAAAGUCAGAUCCACACAGCAGCUUGAUUAGCAGUGCUUGUCGGGGGUGGGCGGAACAGGAAGAAUGCUGUGUCUAGGCUGGGGGGAGAGGAUGGGAAGAGAAUGUCAGCUGUAGGAGCCAAGGGGAUUGGCAAGGAGCUGUGCAACCAUGCAGGAAAAGCAUCUGGAUCCUCCCUUGAGCCACCCAACUUUAUAUUAAAGGUCCUUGCUCUGUUGCCCAGGCUGCUGUGCAGUGGCAUGAUCAUAGUUCACUGCAACCUCGAACUCCUGAGCUUCAGCGAUCCUCCCACCUCACCCUCCCAGGUAGUCCCAUAGUCCCAGCCCCUGAGCUGGGACUACAGGUACGUGCCACCAUGCCUAGCUAAUUUUUUAUAGAGAUGAGGUUUCACUAUAUUGCGCAGACUGGUCUUGAACUCCUGGGCUCAAGCAACCCUCCUGCUUCAGCCUCCCAAAGCACUGGGAUUACAGGCAUGAGGCACCUGACCUCCAAGGGUUACAGGGUUACACCUCCUUUAUUUUUUUUUUGAGACGGAGUUUUGUCUCUUUUUCUUUUUUUUUUGAGACAGAGUUUUGUUCCUGUCCCCGAGGCUAGAAUGCAGUGGUGUGAUCUCAGCUCACUGCAAACUCCGCCUCCUGGGUUUCAGCAAUUCUCUUGCUUCACCCUCUGGAGUAGCUGGCACUGGGCGCGCCACCACUCCUGGUUAUUUUUGUCUUUUUAGUAAAGACAGGAUCUCACUAUGUUGGCCAGGCUGGUCUCAAACUCCUGACCUCAGGUGAUCUGCCCACCUCAGCCUCCCAAAAUGCUGGGAUUACAGGGGUAAGCCACCAUGCCAGGCCCUCCAAGGGUUACAUCUUAUGUAAAAUAUCAAAGCCAGGAAACUGACAUGGGUAUAAUGUGUGUGCCUAGUUCUGUGUUGUUUUAUCACAUGCAAAUUUGUGUAACUACUACCACUUCAAGUAAAAUGCAGAACUGCUCCCUCACUAAACAGAUCUCUCUGGUGAGACCUCUGUGUAGCCACACCCACUCUCUCCCCAUCAACAACUAAUGUGUCUCCAUUGCUAUCAUUUUGAGGAGGCUGAGUUUUAAAUCAACUUCCGACCCUCUCAGCAGUGUGACCUUGGAUAAGUCACUUGUCCUUUUCUGGAUGUUGAUUUUCUCAGCUAAAGACAGACAAGGUCGGGUCACAUCAACAUUCCUCUUGAAUUUCCACAGGCUGAUGUGAUCUGAAAAUGCUACAGAGAUUAUGAGAAAGAAAAUGGGGUUUUAUGGUGAAGUAAACUAGGGAAAUGAUGCUUUACAUAAAUACAUAAUGCUUCUUUACCGUGAAUUCUCAGCCCUUUAAUACACUAAUGUGAACUGUGAAUCUUCUAGUGUGGGAGGUAUAUGCAGCAUUUUCCAAAUUUAUCUGAACACAGAAUACUCCCCCCACCCUUAAAAAAAUCCUCUAGAAAAAAAAAAUCACUUAGAACUAGUUUUUCAGGGAAUAUGCUUAGAGAUCUGCUUUUUCAGGUGAUCUCUGAGGUCCUCCUGCCUCAGCGAUCCCACCCAGAUUAAAAGCCUAGAAAUAUAUCCUCUCUCGUGGGUUAAAUUAUGUUUCUUCAGCCAAAACCUAAGCGUGUGACCUUAUUUGAAAUAAGGGCCUUUUCAGGUGUAAUUAAGAUAAGGAUCUUGAGAUGAGAUCAUUCUAGAUUAGGGUGAAGUCUAAAUCCAAUGAAGAGUGUCCUUAUCAGAGAUGGAAAAGGGGGAUACACAUAGACACAGAAGAAAAUUAUAGGCUGGGCAUGAUGGCUUGCACCUGUAAUCCCAGCGCUUUGGGAGGCUGAGGCAGGAGGAUUGCUCAAGCCCAGGAGUUCCAGGCUGCAGUGAGCUAUAAUCACCCCACUGCACUCCAGCCUGGGUGACAAAAGCGAGACCCUGUCUCUGAAAAAAGAAAGAAGGAAGGAAGGAAAGAAAAAGAAAGAAAGAGAAAAAGAAAGAGAGAAAGAAAAAAGAAAAGAAAA